GAAAAAAACUUCUAAGGAAAACAGAGGGAAAUCGGCCAAGGUGAACAAAAAAUUACCCCUUGAAAUUUCAUCUCAAAAAUUAUUUUUUUUUAGUAUUCCCACUAAUUCAAGGGUCCUCUAUAACAUGGUGGAGUUAUUUUGGAAGAUUGGAGGCUUGUUUCAUUGAUUUGGGAGUGAAGAAGUUAGAAGGAAAAAGAUUUUGGAGGAAACGGGAAUUGAAUUUGGACAAUCGUAAAAGACCAAUAAGGUACAGAAGUUCAAUUUGCUGAUCAUUCUGCUUAGGACAUCCACUGAGUCGUUGAAAGUGCUCCCUUGUCCGGAGCUUAUAUUUUGGUACUGACUCUUUCUGCUAUUAUAUGUAUACUUUGCUCAGGGGUACGACGGGGCCCUGUCCCGUCCUAUGACUAGAUUAUCUUUCUAUAAAGGUCUGUAGAUAUUUGUUGUGGGUUCUGUAUAUGGUUUGGGAUUUUGUACUCCGUGACGACUGUAGCGGCGUUCUCAUACUACUUAUAUUUCUAUUUGA